UACGGAGGAUGCGAGCGUUAUCCGGAUUUAUUGGGUUUAAAGGGUGCGUAGGCGGUCCGUUAAGUCAGCGGUAAAAUUGCGGGGCUCAACCCCGUCGAGCCGUUGAAACUGUCAGACUUGAGUUGGCGAGAAGUACGCGGAAUGCGCGGUGUAGCGGUGAAAUGCAUAGAUAUCACGCAGAACUCCGAUUGCGAAGGCAGCGUACCGGCGCCACACUGACGCUGAGGCACGAAAGCGUGGGGAUCGAACAGG
rnacentral:rRNA from 1 species